rnacentral:rRNA from 1 species
GAUGAACGUUGGCGGCGUGCCUAAUACAUGCAAGUCGAGCGAACAGAUAAGGAGCUUGCUCCUUUGACGUUAGCGGCGGACGGGUGAGUAACACGUGGGUAACCUACCUAUAAGACUGGGAUAACUUCGGGAAACCGGAGCUAAUACCGGAUAAUAUUUCGAACCGCAUGGUUCGAUAGUGAAAGAUGGUUUUGCUAUCACUUAUAGAUGGACCCGCGCCGUAUUAGCUAGUUGGUAAGGUAACGGCUUACCAAGGCGACGAUACGUAGCCGACCUGAGAGGGUGAUCGGCCACACUGGAACUGAGACACGGUCCAGACUCCUACGGGAGGCAGCAGUAGGGAAUCUUCCGCAAUGGGCGAAAGCCUGACGGAGCAACGCCGCGUGAGUGAUGAAGGUCUUCGGAUCGUAAAACUCUGUUAUUAGGGAAGAACAUACGUGUAAGUAACUGUGCACGUCUUGACGGUACCUAAUCAGAAAGUCACGGCUAACUACGUGCCAGCAGCCGCGGUAAUACGUAGGUGGCAAGCGUUAUCCGGAAUUAUUGGGCGUAAAGCGCGCGUAGGCGGUUUUUUAAGUCUGAUGUGAAAGCCCACGGCUCAACCGUGGAGGGUCAUUGGAAACUGGAAAACUUGAGUGCAGAAGAGGAAAGUGGAAUUCCAUGUGUAGCGGUGAAAUGCGCAGAGAUAUGGAGGAACACCAGUGGCGAAGGCGACUUUCUGGUCUGUAACUGACGCUGAUGUGCGAAAGCGUGGGGAUCAAACAGGAUUAGAUACCCUGGUAGUCCACGCCGUAAACGAUGAGUGCUAAGUGUUAGGGGGUUUCCGCCCCUUAGUGCUGCAGCUAACGCAUUAAGCACUCCGCCUGGGGAGUACGACCGCAAGGUUGAAACUCAAAGGAAUUGACGGGGACCCGCACAAGCGGUGGAGCAUGUGGUUUAAUUCGAAGCAACGCGAAGAACCUUACCAAAUCUUGACAUCCUUUGACAACUCUAGAGAUAGAGCUUUCCCCUUCGGGGGACAAAGUGACAGGUGGUGCAUGGUUGUCGUCAGCUCGUGUCGUGAGAUGUUGGGUUAAGUCCCGCAACGAGCGCAACCCUUAAGCUUAGUUGCCAUCAUUAAGUUGGGCACUCUAAGUUGACUGCCGGUGACAAACCGGAGGAAGGUGGGGAUGACAUCAAAUCAUCAUGCCCCUUAUGAUUUGGGCUACACACGUGCUACAAUGGACAAUACAAAGGGCAGCGAAACCGCGAGGUCAAGCAAAUCCCAUAAAGUUGUUCUCAGUUCGGAUUGUAGUCUGCAACUCGACUACAUGAAGCUGGAAUCGCUAGUAAUCGUAGAUCAGCAUGCUACGGUGAAUACGUUCCCGGGUCU